CGACAUCGGUGGAGUGGAGUACAUUUCCCUACUAUUAAGUAGCCAACCCUGCUGGUGACCGAGAUAACCCUUGACACAUUUUAUUCUGUGGCCCGGACUUUGUUGUUGUUAACUAGUGAUGCAGUAGGCCGCCCGAAGGCCGUUUUGCUCCACUUUGGACGUGUUGGGUGUGUCUACAAGGGUCAAGAAAAGGAUAAAAUGGGGGGAGAAGAAAACACCAGAUACAUAACUUCUGUUGGUCCAGUCAGUGUUUAGAGCAGCUAAGACCAAAGAAGACUACAGACCUGGGGUUGAGCAAGACACUAUGCUCAACCCCAGGUCUAUGUUUAUGAUGGCUUCCACUAGAUAUUCGACUGGACAAUGGGUUUGGGAAGAUACCCGUGGAAAUCAAGAUGAUGGCUGUUUUAGAUACUGUGUUCCCGCAAGUGGCAUCGCCAUGAACGACCCAGUGGGAACACGCAGGAAUGCUAAACUGCCAGAGGGAGGGGUGCUGACGUUCAGGGGAGACGGGGCAGAGAACAUCAACUGUGAGUGUCGAACAGAUUGGAACAGUAUCAAGUUUGAGUGCCGAGCAGCACAUCACUAGCCUAGAGGCCCCCAGCCAGGAUCUGACAACCUACGUAUCCUUAACACAUGGGAUGUAAAGAAUCCAGACAAGCUGCCCAACCAGGUGGACAAGGACAACCCAGUGGGCUGUGGACAGUAACAUUUGACAUGGUCAGCUAGUUGUUGUCAGGCCAGUUAGACAUUGUUCAAGGACUUCAGAAUCAAUAGGACACUAGAGAAAUAAGAGGGAGCAUUUCUUAGAUCUGGGGUAACCAAUUUUUACACUAUGUGGUCCGGAGCCUGCGUUUUUUCAUUAUUGUCACCCACCCAUCUAUCUAA